UCAAAAAUCUUUUGUUGUAUCUAUAGCAUGGCUUUCUAAAGUUCCUAGUUCCAAUCCUAAUCCAACAAGGUAGGCAUGGUCCUUGCAACCCAGAUGUCCCAUUAAAGUCCUUUGAGCAUUGUAAGUCCAUAAGAGAGAUAUGGCAGUUAGGCUCGAGAAAGUUUGGGGAAUAUGUAGGGGAGUUUGGUAUCAGAGCCAGACCUUUGUUGUGAUUAAGGGAGAAAACAUAUUUCAUCCUUUCAAAAGCCAAAGCAAUUUCAUGAAUAUCAUCCAUGAAUACCAAGCCAAUAUGGAGUGGUUGCACCUAUUUGACAACUAUGAUGCAUGGUAUAGAUGUCAAUUGGACAAAUCAAACAAGCUAUAUUCUUGUCUCUUGAUAAUCUCUACAACAAGAGAAAGGUUGUUCGAGAAUAUUUCAUAAGGUCAUAAAGGUCAAUAUGAAAAUCUUGAAAUCUUUGUUCCCAUUUUUCAGAUGGGAUGUCAUCAAUAAUAAAGAUUUGAACUCCUUGGGGAAAACCUUGGGGAAAAGACAAAAUGUGUUGUACACAUUUUGCGAAUAUAACAGUUUGCGAACAUAACUACACCAAAUCUCUUUUUGUGGACAA